rnacentral:rRNA from 1 species
GACGAACGCUGGCGGCGUGCUUAACACAUGCAAGUCGAACGGAAAGGCCCUGCUUGCAGGGUACUCGAGUGGCGAACGGGUGAGUAACACGUGGGUGAUCUGCCCUGCACUUCGGGAUAAGCUUGGGAAACUGGGUCUAAUACCGGAUAGGAGCCAUCUUUAGUGUGGUGGUUGGAAAGUUUUUUCGGUGUAGGAUGAGCUCGCGGCCUAUCAGCUUGUUGGUGGGGUAAUGGCCUACCAAGGCGGCGACGGGUAGCCGGCCUGAGAGGGUGUACGGCCACAUUGGGACUGAGAUACGGCCCAGACUCCUACGGGAGGCAGCAGUGGGGAAUAUUGCACAAUGGGCGCAAGCCUGAUGCAGCGACGCCGCGGGGGGGAUGAAGGCCUUCGGGUUGUAAACUCCUUUCGCUAGGGACGAAGCUUUUUGUGACGGUACCUAGAUAAGAAGCACCGGCUAACUACGUG